AGAGUUUGAUCAUGGCUCAGGAUGAACGCUGGCGGCGUGCCUAAUACGUGCAAGUCGAGCGGCAGCACGGUCUUCGGACUGGUGGCGAGCGGCGGACGGCUGAGUAACGCGUAGGAAUAUACCCCAAAGUGAGGGAUAACUGCCCGAAAGGUGGCUAAUACCGCAUGUGGUCUUCGGACUAAAGCCUUCGGGCGCUUUGGGAAUAGCCUGCGUAAGAUUAGCUAGUUGGUGAGGUAAUGGCUCACCAAGGCGACGAUCUUUAGCUGGUCUGAGAGGAUGACCAGCCAGACUGGAACUGAGACACGGUCCAGACUCCUACGGGAGGCAGCAGUAGGGAAUUUUCCACAAUGGGCGAAAGCCUGAUGGAGCAACGCCGCGUGCAGGAUGAAGGCCCUCGGGUCGUAAACUGCUUUUAUGUGCGAAGAAUAUGACGGUAACACAUGAAUAAGGGUCGGCUAACUACGUG
rnacentral:rRNA from 1 species